UACCUACGGGAGGCAGCAGUGAGGAAUAUUGGUCAAUGGGAGAGAUCCUGAACCAGCCAAGCCGCGUGAGGGAAGACGGCCCUAUGGGUUGUAAACCUCUUUUGUCGGGGAACAAAGGCGCCCACGGGUGGGCGGAUGAGUGUACCCGAAGAAAAAGCAUCGGCUAACUCCGUGCCAGCAGCCGCGGUAAUACGGAGGAUGCGAGCGUUAUCCGGAUUUAUUGGGUUUAAAGGGUGCG
rnacentral:rRNA from 1 species